UACGAAGGGGGCUAGCGUUGCUCGGAAUCACUGGGCGUAAAGCGCACGUAGGCGGGUCCUUAAGUCAGGGGUGAAAUCCUGGAGCUCAACUCCAGAACUGCCUUUGAUACUGAGAAGCUUGAGUCCGGGAGAGGUGAGUGGAACUGCGAGUGUAGAGGUGAAAUUCGUAGAUAUUCGCAAGAACACCAGUGGCGAAGGCGGCUCACUGGCCCGAUACUGACGCUGAGGCACGAAAGCGUGGGGAGCAAACAGG
rnacentral:rRNA from 1 species